AGUGAACGCUGGCGGUAGGCCUAACACAUGCGAGUCGAACGGCAGCACAGUAAGAGCUUGCUCUUACGGGUGGCGAGUGGCGGACGGGUGAGGAAUACAUCGGAAUCUACUUUUUCGUGGGGGAUAACGUAGGGAAACUUACGCUAAUACCGCAUACGACCUACGGGUGAAAGCAGGGGAUCUUCGGACCUUGCGCGAUUGAAUGAGCCGAUGUCGGAUUAGCUAGUUGGCGGGGUAAAGGCCCACCAAGGCGACGAUCCGUAGCUGGUCUGAGAGGAGGAUCAGCCACACUGGAACUGAGACACGGUCCAGACUCCUACGGGAGGCAGCAGUGGGGAAUAUUGGACAAUGGGCGCAAGCCUGAUCCAGCCAUACCGCGUGGGUGAAGAAGGCCUUCGGGUUGUAAAGCCCUUUUGUUGGGAAAGAAAAGCAGCAGGUUAAUACCCCGCUGUUCUGACGGUACCCAAAGAAUAAGCACCGGCUAACUUCG
rnacentral:rRNA from 1 species